CCUACGGGAGGCAGCAGUGAGGAAUAUUGGUCAAUGGGCGAGAGCCUGAACCAGCCAAGUCGCGUGAGGGAGUACUGCCCUAUGGGUUGUAAACCUCUUUUGUCGGGGAGCAAAAGCCGGACGUGUCCGGCUGUGAGAGUACCCGAAGAAAACGCAUCGGCUAACUCCGGGCCAGAAGCCGCGGUAAUACGGGGGAUGCGAGGGUUAUCCGUAUUUAUUGGGUGUAAAGGGUUCGCAGGCGGAUUUUUAAGUCAGCGGGAAAAUCGUGGGGCUCAACCCCAUCCAGCCGUUGAAACUGGGGAUCUAGAGUGUGCGAGAGGUAUGCGGAAUGCGUGGUGUAGCGGUGAAAUGCAUAGAUAUCACGCAGAACCCCGAUUGCGAAGGCAGCAUACCGGUGCACAACUGACGCUCAGGCACGAAAGCGUGGGUAUCGAACAGGAUUAGAUACCCGAGUAGUC
rnacentral:rRNA from 1 species